CUUCCAAGGAUUGGCCUAAGCAUUUGGAAGUUCAAUUUAGGAAGAAGAUUGAGACAUUAUCAAAAGUGAAUCACAAGAAUUUUAUCAACCUUUUUGGAUAUUGUGAGGAGGAGGAUAUUUUACUUCAUUUCUCUUCUCUUCAAUUCCUACUGGUAAAUGUGAACAAACUUGCAUGGUUUCAUUGCUUUAUGGCGUUUUGAAUUCUAACAAGCUUGAACUCUUCAAAAUUUGGCUCGACUCGAUUCGUUUACACCCCUACUUAUUUAUUAUUUUA